UUUCAGUAAUUGAACAAGAAACCAGAUAAAUAAAAACGAAGGAAAAAAAGGUAGAAUCUUGGGCAGUAGACGAAGCUGCCACACCGGAGUCGACGAUGCCGACCAAUUCCUGAUAUAGAACAUAGUUAGAGAUUUAUUUAAUUUAACGUAUUAAAACCACAAUUCCUGAUAUAGAACAUAGUUAGAGAUUUAUUUAAUUUAACGUAUUAAAACCAGAAAAUAGAGAAAAAGAGAAGAGAUAGAGAAAGAAAGGGAAAGCAGAGGCGGCGGCCACCCCCGGCAUUGCUACGCAGCCACGGCUCACGGCGGCAGCCGCGAACAGGGCAGAGAAAGAAAGAUCGAGAGGGGCAGAGUGAGAGAGACUGAGAGGGAGGAUAUAGAGAGAAGAAGAGAGAUAGGGGACUUACCUGAGGCAGGAAGAACGACGGAGGAGCGGAAAUCCGACGAGCUGGGGCGGCGGCGACGUUAUUCGCCGGGAUUCUCCAGAGGAAUAAAAGUGAUGGGGGAGAUUAAAAAACCCUAGGUUGAUUUUUAUUUGAGAAUUAAGGGAAAAGGAAGGAAAUGAAGAAGAAGAAGAGGAGAGAGAGGCGCCGGCCUCGCCGCGCCGGAGGCGGCGAUGACCGGCGACGUCGCCAAGCGUGAGAGAGAGGGAGAGUGACAGACGCGGGCGAGUGAACAGAGAGAGAAAGACCACGUCUGAGGAGAGAAGGAGGAAUCUGAUUUCCUUUAUUUUAAGAAGAAG
rnacentral:lncRNA from 1 species